ACCCUGCACUUACAUUUUGGGAUUAGCAUUGAAGCAAAGUUAUUCAAACACGAUAACUUGCGUGUAUACUGAGUAAACUGCUUUGAAGCAUCGCCCCUUUAAAAAGUUAAGGCCUUUCACUGUAAAAACUCAAAUCUCACCAUGAUAGUGUCUAAUUUUCCAGUCAAUACAUACAAUAUAAGCCAGAUGUGCCUGAAAGGUUAGAUGGAAUCAUAUCACAAGCAAAACAUUAAUACCCAAAUUGCUCACACAUAUUAAAUACUGUAUGGCUAACAGUCUAGCAGGCAAAAUGUCUCAUACUAGAGUCCUGAAGUGAGCAUUGUAUCAUAGAUGACAAAAAAGUUGGACAGUACGAUUGGAAAUUUUUCAUGUGAACUCUCCUAUCUAUGUUGUUUUGCUUGUUAUUGAUUUUUUUUCCCCAUCAUGCAGCUACAGAGUGUGAUUUUCAUAAAACUACUAUACUGUCUACACUACACUACAUUUUCAUUUUCUAUGUUUGCUUUUUGCUUUUGUAUUCUUGUGCAGAACAAAUAAUCCAAAUCAACACUAUUUGUGGGCGCAGUGACCGGCAGAGACCGCAAUAAUCAGAGCAAAAAUAUUUCAUUCAAACAUAUUUUGCCACCUUUUAAAGUCAACAUGGCCAUUGCAACAUUUAACAGUUCCACCACUAAACUUUGUGCUUCUGUACUCUGAGUUUGCACAACAGCGUCUCUGUGUGCAUGUGGGUGUAUGCGUCUAAUGUGAAUGUUUUGAGUUUGACUGAUGGUGUGGCGGUGGUCAGAGCAGCAUGGAUCCAGAGUAGCAGCUGACAGGGUUCUCCUGCAGGGCUGUGCAGGGUAUCGAUCGCAUGAGUCUGGCCAGGUGUCUGCCUGGAGAGAAGGAGAGAGAACAAGAUCAGCCAUGCAGACAGAAGGAGAGAGGAUUGAGGGAGGAAAAGGAGGAGAGAGGGAGGACAUGGCCGGCUGGGUUGACCUUAAUGGAGGAUGGUUGUAAAGGUGCGCAUCUCAUGGGACAGCGGUUGAAAUGAGGGACCUGCAGAGGCAAACCUGCAGGCUAACCUUCGUUUAUAAGAACAUGAGUUUUAAGAAGCAUCUGUAUGAAUGCAAUCAUAAAUAAAAGAUAACUAAAUAUGUGUUUAUGACAUAUCUGAUCAAAAUAUUUUUGUGAGUGAACCAUUCCCUGCAGCGAUAUUACACUGGGAAAAACUCAGUCAGAAAAAAAAAUCCAGAACAAAGUGAUAAUUCAAGAUAUUACACACCAAAAAUAAGAUCUGAAUUGAUUAUAAUGAGUAAAAAAAAUGCAGAUCAAAAUAAUUUUUUCAUCAAGUUUCCUGAAAUAGAAAAAUGUCUUAAUUGAAUAACAUAGAAAAGUCAUCUUUAAUCUUCCACAGAUACAAAUAAGCUAUUUGUGAUGGAAAAUAUUCAAGCUUUUCAGGGAAAUGUGGCUUAAAAACAGCCUUUGUUGUCUUAUUUCCCAUUUAUAUGAGAAAUAAGACAACAAAACUUGCUAAGAUUUGAGUUUUUGCAGUGCAUUGAUUCCUUCUAUGCUGGCCCCUAUAAAAAAAGUGAAAUAUUUCCCCUUUCAAAUACAUUUGGUACCAAAUAAUGUUGCCAGUGACGGGGCCAUAAGGGUGGUGAAAGGUUGUCUUAUUUCUAUUUUUACUUUUAACAGGCUGCUUCUUGUUUUUUCCUAUUUUAAUAUGAAAAAAAUGGAAAAUGUUGACUUUAUGAGGAUUGAGUUUAGCAGAUUAAUGUAGUGCCACUCUGACGAGUUACCUUUCACAGUAAACAGUGAUAUUUAUAUGAGACACCAAAUUUGACAUGAUUAGCAUUGAUCGUCUUCCAGGGUUUGGAGAGAGUCUCUGAUGUCUACCACAUUUGGCUGCCCCAAAAAUGGAACACUGGCCCCACCACUGAGUUUUGUGUUCGGUUGCAUGGCAUCACCAGAGGGCGUACACACCUGAAUCAAUGUCCCUCCUUCUUUAUGAACUAUGUAUGGAUGACUUCUCCUGCUUCCUCAAGCUUUUGGAGGCUCAGCAGUGCCCAGUUUGUGACCCUCUAAGAUCUCACUAAUGAGACCAAGGGUGGUGCAUGAUGUACAUCUGUCCUCUGCCCCAAUAUUUCAGCAUUAACAGAUCUGUAAAUCAGUGAGUUUAUGAAUGACGAAUCUAAAUAUUCACUUUAUCUAUGAUAUAGCUCAUGUGAAAGUAUUAUGAAGCCUGCUUUCGCUCAAUGUUAUUAAUUCCAUCAUGUUUAUAUGAGGCACGAACUAGUUUCCAUAAAUUAGAGUGUGCCAGGUUCAGCAAAUAUUUAUUCUUUUGUGAAAAUUUGCUUCGUCAUCGCCUUAAUUCACUCAGAUUGACCAGUGAAAACCUUCAUCGCCUCUCCCACCCAAGGACAAAUCCCUUUAUCUCCUCUCUCUCCUUUCUUCCAAACAUCACAGCUGAGCAGGAUUUAUGUUGUGUGCUCGUCGGCUGCUCUGUUUUUUAUGUGAGUGGUGUAAACCCUUAACAGGCUAAUGCAUUAACAAUAUCCUCUUUUAAAAAUCCUAACCUACCUCCUCCCUCCUCACCCUGCAAACAGCUUAAGCAGCCAGACACCUCUUUCCCAGACAUCAUUUUAGGAAAGUAAUUGCGACCCUUACUCCAUCACUAACAUCCCCGCCUCCUUCUCUUCUGUUGCACACAUGCUUUUGAUGCCCCCCACUCUGCCUCUGGUAGUUAAGGGUAAGGGCUUAAAGGUGUCUUAUCUCAAAUUCAUCAUGGCUCCGACUGCUCCUGGGUCACUGCUGGACAGCCGUCACCCUCUGAGGGGGCUGUCAUUGUUGGUGGUAGAUAGGAGGGUAACACAAAGCACAGUCCAUAUGGUACACCUUUUCUAGGACUAUGGAGAGAGAGGCCCCAUUUAUGGACAAAAAUAUGAGGAAACCCUUCUUUAUCUGUAUGUCUGCAAGGCUGGGUUAACAAGCAAGGGAGGACAGUCAUGGCCUGACAUCCACAGGGUGUCAAAGGGCUUUAGUUUGGGGCAAUUGGCUGGUUGUAUUUCAAAGAAGUAACAGCUUACCCCAAAGUAAAUGGGUUUGGAUAAACAUUUUCCUCUGCAGAAGAGCAUUAUAGUUAAACAUAAAGGCUCUGGUAACCGAAUAUGAAGCAGCAGUGAUGGUUUUUGGAGAUAUGUUAACAAUUUUAAGGUUAUUUCACUUCUGAUGGUUUGUUCUGCUCAGAAGUGGGGUACUCAGUUGUUGGCACCCCAUAUAUGGAGGUUACAUUGGUUCCCAGGUGCCGGCAGAAUCUGGGGUAUGUCAUUCCCCUCACCUUUCUUGCAUUUCCAGUUGCUCUCUGUAUUUGUCUUGCCUGAUAAAGACAAAAAGCCACCACAAAAACAACAGCAUGCAUUUAUGAACCUACAAACCACAUAGGCAUAAGCAUUUGUUUUUCAUUGGAUAAGGGUUAUAUGCCUUUAGUUUGGCUUUUGGGGGGCAAAAUGUGACCUAAAUCAACAAGAGUGUUUAGUCAGAGUUAGAUUAGGGGUUAUCGUGAUUUGGCAAAAGAAGAACAAAAUGACACGAACUAACUCAACUUUGAAAAGGUAGUAAACAAGUUUCAAAAAGGUCCAGAUUUCUAAAAAUGUUUAACAAAAAUGACUGAAGCAGCAAAAUCAUUUACCAAGCAAGCAGUUUCCCUGAUAUUAUUCCUCUGGUUAUAAGUGUCACAUUCAUCAGUGUGUGCAGAAUCAGCACCAAAUGUCAGCUGACACACCCCCAGCACUCCGACCACACAGUGAGGGCAAAUCCCCCCGAUUAGAUUUGUAAAUCAAAAACCAAUACAUACAACAUGCAGGAAUUAAUUUGUUUUAUAUUCCUUGGUUACAUUUUUCGUGAAGCACAUUUGGAAGAUUUAGAAUGUAUUUGUGCCUGCUGCUCCCCACUAUUAUAUGCUUCAAUUCAUACAUCUAUUUGUGAGCCCAUAAAACAGGCAUUGACUACCCAUGUAAAUUGUGUUCCCCACAAUAAAUUAUAUGCAUACUUGCAAAAAUACAUAACUGCUGUCGGUCUCCGCGCUCCAUGUCACCGGCAUACUAAUAGCGCCAUGCUAGGAGGCCAAUGAUGCCACUUCCAUUAUUUUUCCAUUUAGCCGUAAUUUUGCGGAGGAAGUUGGAGUUGGUGAAAUUGCCUCCGUCUGUCUGCCCCCCCUUUUAUUCCUACCAUCCCUGCUCCUUGUCUCUCAGACUGGGCUCUGUAUCUCCUACUCUGUUUUUUCCUCCCCUCUCAUUCAGCUUGUGAGGCACGUGGGGGUUGUUUUCAUCCUGGUGAGUGGAUAGAAAACGCCAGUGACCUGUACACGCCUUCGGUUCAGUGGGCGAUUUUGUCUCAAGCUGCUGAGGCUACAAGCUCAAGGGUUAAAGGUCAAGUUAUCCCACAGUGAAAUGGACACCAUGGGAAAGUAAUGCAGCCAAAAUCUGCUCUGUAUGCCUGGCUGACACCAAGUAGAUGACUGUAUCAUGAACCCUUUAUCACUCCAGUCCAACAGAAUUGCACAUUAGUUUUCUGCAGCAGAAUACAGAUUUGAUCUCUAAAUAAUAUGUCUGUUUUUUUCUGGUGGGUAAAUACCCAGAAUGCUAAAGAAAAUAUUUCUUGGAGCUUAUAACUUACAGUCAGUUACGAAGCAAAAUGCUGCAACUUAAGACAUUUGCGUGGGUAUAAUGAUGCGUGGGUAACAUUUAGGGGGCAUGGCUUCAUUUUGUGAUUAAAGCCACUAACCCUCAUAUAUGGGCCAGAGAUUCACUGUCUGAGUUGGAUUCAAAAAGAUCAAUUGAUUGAUUUUAUUUGACUAUCAAAAAAUAUUUCCAUAUCUCUACAAAGGCGCUUUUCAGUAGAUGUUCAAAACAAGAAGAAAUUAAAUAAAAAAGAGUAGGUAAAAAUCUAUCUUUAGAUUAAUGUUGUCGUGCUAAUAGUCUGUAUUAAAGGAGGUAAGAAUCAAUCUGGUUUUCUCGCACAUUUCAAACAGCAGCUAUGAUCCUCCUCACUGCAUCAGCUUCAAUUUGAAAACCCAGUUCAAGAGUCAACCGCUGAGAACAACAGUUUUUCUUCACAGAGACAAUUGGCUUUGUCUUCAUGGCAGAGUUGGUUAUCACUUAGUUGGAAGGUUUGGGGUUUGAUUCCCUUUCUGAGUGUACACAUGUCCAAAAGGUUCUUGGGCAAGAAACUGAAUCCUAAAAUGACACAACUGGCUGCGUCCAGCUGUGCGUGAGUGGGGUUAGUAUAUACCGAUGGACGCUUUACUUCGCAGCUUCUUACAUCAGCGUGUGAGUGUGCUGUGAAUGGCAAAAUAACACAUGUAAAUACUAAACAUGGGUCGAGUCCAUUUACCAUAAACACUUUGUAGAAAGUGAGUAACAGCUGAUUCCUGCCUUUACAUUUAAAAGAUUGAAUCAUGUUGAUCCUCAAAGCAAAGGAAAACAUUGACUAUGUCAUGACAGUAGCUGAAGGCAAAACAAAGUGUAACUGGAGUGGUAUACUUAUCAUCAGUACAGGGUUGGAGUUUUAGAUCUUGUAUGGUUGUUGGUGCCAGAAUAGAAGGAGCAAUGUAUCAUCUGCAAAAACAAAGACAACCCUGACUCAAUACAGUAACAUUGAAGAGCUGGGAAGAAAUACAGUACUUGCAUGAGCAGUGCACGCUUCUUAUAGCCCGUAUUUCUUGUCCUCUUCGCUUAGUCUUGGCUUAACCCAUAUGCUUGUCUAUUCUGUCAGCGAAGUGUAAAUAUUGGACUGUUUCACCUUUGGAAGUCCUGUCUAACCAUCCGUGUAAGCUAAAAACAACUUGUUAGCGACUGCUAGUUAACUUGUCCAGGUGAUUGUUUUGUCUCCCAUUAAGGCCCACCCACCAAAAAAACAGCAGACUGUUUAUUCACACCAAAAAGCUCCAUACUUACCAAAAGUCUGGUGUGUGUGUGUGUGUGUGUGUGUGUGUGUGUGUGUGUGUGUGUGUGUGUGUGUGUGUGUGUGUGUGUGUGUGUGUGUUAGAGAGCGUAUGAGUCUUGAUUGUGGCAGUCUGGUCUGUGAGGAGGGUGCACAUACAGGGACUCGGGGCUGAAGGUCACCAGAGCUGCUGAGCUGAGCACACAUACACACAUGGAGUAAACACACAAACACACUCACUUCCAGCUCUGUUGACUCUCUCACACACGCACACACUCGCAGACACACACAGAAUAUACAGAGCUUUCACACAGCUCUUACGGUUGCGGAAAACCAAUAAAAUUGCAAAUUUCCCCUCAUAUUUUCACAAUAUCCUAAAUAAACAGCAGCCAGGCUUUGCUCAUCUCUCUCUCUCUCUCUCUCUCUCUCUCUCUCUCUCUCUCUCUCUCUCUCUCUCUCUCUCUCUUUCAUUAAAUAUUAAUCUGUACGUGGCUGGGAUGACUCCAAUCAGGGGAGUCGACAUAUAGGGAGACGAUGGCUGCCCCUCUCUGGGUAAACAUUGAGGAGAUUGUCACCCCACCACUCCCACCCCACUGCGACCCCAAACCAUCCACAUACAUGCAUACCCAUCUGCACACAAACACACAUCCACACUCAAACACUAGCUGCACCAUCACCACCAUCUAUCUCAUAUGGUGAUACACAAAAUAAACAAAUUUAUGCAGUCUGUUCUGAAUCGUCUUGAAAUAUCACCAUCAGAAAAAAAAAGAUUACACGUAAACAUUAGUGGAACUGAUCAAUUCAACAAAUUAUGACUUAAAAACAUCAGCAUAUCACAUGGGACACCAUCCAGAGACAGUCAAAUCAUAUCAGGCACAUCUUCGACCCACACAGUGCUCUCACAGUUUGAUUUGUCAACUUGAAGAAAACUUCCAUGAGUCCGGGUUGAAUUGCUGUAGCUACCAUGGAGCAGUUCAUUCAUAAUACAUCCAGUGGGUUCCCUGUUUAUUAAAUUAAACCAUAAAUUGGAUUCACUGAAGUCAAGGUAUUAUGUUUAUUUCCCUGCUGAAACAUGUAAAGGAAAUAAAAGGAAGACCGCAGUUCUGUAGGUGUCCACUGGAGGCUGUCUCUAAGGCCAAGAAGAUCUUUGUUUUGACUUGCUAAUUUUGUAUAUUCACCUAGAAAAAUUGAAAAUUAUGAAAGUUAAUGAAGCUAUAUCAAUUCUUUCAGUUCUUUGAAUUGUUUUGGGGCUUUUCUUGCUUGUUGGUUCUUAUACUUUGGUCUUAUACUUGUGAUUAAUUGUUGAAGCUGUAGUGGGAGUUGGAUGUAUACUGGGGUGCAUUAUAUUGAUAGGUGUUCCUAAUACUUUGCCCCCCUCAGGUUUGUUAAUGUAGUGGGCAAAAUAUAAGGGGCAGCUUUCAAUAUAACACAUUCCAGUACAUCCUGACCACCCACUCUGUCUUAAAGUAAUAUAAAGAGAAGUUAUCACCGUUCUGUCCAUGUCGACAGAAACUCAAGAUUCAGAAGCUUCAUGAAAGUAGAAUUUGAGGCAGGGCUGCUGGAUUCGAUUGCCCAGGUGUUCAUAAUGUUAUGGCUGGUCGAUGUAUGUAUAUGUACUAUUUAUAAAGACAAGCAAAGAACUGAACAGUUGUACAAUGUUAUUGGCAUGAUGUCAGCAGAGAAUAGCUAAAAAAAACUCACUGAUACAUCGUGGCAGAUUUGAACAUUUCUGCAGAUGUAAUUGCUGGCUGAAAAGGUGAUGCAUUGAUUAUGUGCAUGUGGUGACAGCUGUUAUGUCUAUAUUUGAAAAUAAGAGAUUUUUUUAUCCAUGGUUGAAUCAAGUUUUGUUUGUCUUGUUUUAGACUGUCACUACAAGAGUAACAGGUGCAAUGUGCUGCAAGAAAAACUUGUCAUUCUUUACAAUCAUAUUUUAUUAGUACUAAUAUUAGUAUCAGCUAAAAUGAUGAUAAAAGUAUGAGCAUACAUGAUAUCGGCAAACAUCCAAUCUAGUGCAUCCUUAAUUUUCAGUGUACAACACCUUCUGUGAAGAUUCUGACUUAAGAAAACUACAAUUUGUAAAGGGUGUAGGAUGAAGUGAAGCACUUAUUCAUUCCUUUUUCAUUUUGAAUUUAAUUCUUUAAAUCCAUUAAGUGCAGGUCAGGACACUCAGAAUAACACCAGAGAAUAUAGAUGUCCAAAAUAAUACACAGUGCGUAUUAAAGCCUUUAAAAUAUCAAUUAACUUGUGCAUUGAUAAUCCUGCCUUUAGCCUGGUGCCAUUUUUGAUUCCACGAAGACUCACAGUUUAUAAGAACGAGUGACGUCACUGAAACAUCCAUGUUUUAGACACUCUAUGGCAUCUGCUCAGCCUUCGAUUAAAGGCAUAAAGAAGGUCUCAUUCUGAUUCAAAAAGCUUCCAUUAUACGUAUUGUAUUUAACAGUAUUACCUGUUUUUUAUAGAAUAUGAUACAGUGAGGAGGAAAAUCUGUUAAAACUGUAAAUCACAAAUCAAUCCCUUGUAUUACACCACUUAUGAGAGUCAAUUUUCUAGCACAGCAGAGGCUUUACCCUCAGAGAGAUGGCAACAAAGCAUUUUUGUAAAAUGUGGAGUUUAAAGACAGUAACAUAAAAAUGUCAUUUCUUCAAGUAUUUUCAUUGAGUUCUAGAAAAUGUCAGAUCCUUGGUUUUGUUUGUGUUGAUCAUGUGGAUCUUUUAGAAUAGAAGAAAGGAAACACACCAGCAGGGAGUUAAAUUGAUAAUUUAUCGUGAAUCUUUUUAAGAAAAAUAUAAAAUUAGGGCUGUUUCUGCAGCUGCUUGUCCAGCACGUACCCUCUAAAAGAUUUACAAUAAACUAUAAAAAUCUUCACUCUCAACACUGAUGGUCCUGUUUGCUUUUGAGUAUCAUAAAAAGACAUCAAUAUGAAUUUCAGUCUAUUUUGUAAAGGCUAAAAAACUUCUCACAGGAGCUUUAAAUGUGAGUUAAAUCAUUUAAAAAUCUUUACAAUUUACAGCACAAAAAGCUGCACUAAUGCAUGUAGAGACACAUGAACACAACAGCAUUUUUGACCACUCAUAAACACUGAAUGUCUUACACACAUACACACACACAUAUGCACAUACACAAAUGCACACACACGCACAUACACACUAGAUAAGUUUUCCAUCAGCUGCUCCCUUCUCCCUUUCUCCUCUCACUCCCUCCCUCUUCUCCUCCUCAGUGCAGAUGGACUCCACGCUGCUGCGACCCCACAAGGGGCAGCAGAGGAACACGAUACAACACCUGCAGCUCCUAAACCACAGUGAACAGGUGGAGCAGAUUUUCUUUGUCUUAAACAUUAGACCAGAGAAAGACAAAAAAGAGAGGAACAGUGACAGGUAUGCCAAAAAGUGUGCAAAACAAACAUGCAUCAGGCAAGACAAAAGAUGAAAGAUAAAGAAAAAGACAAAUGCACAUAUUUGAUUGAACAGAAAUAAACAAGAAAAUGACUUAAUACAAACAAAUCAACAAGGAAAGAGAACAAAUAGAAAUCAAUGUAUGAGAGAGCUGAAAGGAAGAGCAAACAAAUCAGAGAAAAAAAGAGAGACAAAGCUGAGAUUGGACCACGAGAAAAACAAAUACUGGAGAAGUAAGACAAACAAAAAGACGAGAAAAAUACAGAAUUAUCAUGGAACAGCUUGGAAACUCUCAGAAAGUCUUUUUUUAAAUGGAGCUAGAGAGUAUAAAUAAGAACAAUGAUGAAAUUUGGAUGAAACCAGCUUCUCCAAAACACUUUUACAUGUCAGCGGACAUGUUAAAGCCCCACAGUCACACCUGUGUUAUCAGUUGCUGGCUGCUACCUGUGGACCCCUUUCACAGUGGGCACACAGGAAACACACACACACACACACACACACACACACACAUGUAGACACACAGAGAUCACGGUGAGUGUGUAGAAGGUGGUUGCAUGCCUCAGACACAGAGAGAGAAAGAGAGAGAGAGAGAGAGAGAGAGAGAGAGAGAGAGAGAGAAUGUGAGGCUAAUCACAGCAGCAGAAAAGCAGAAUUGAGCACAGAUCACACACGGGAUUAGCAAAAACCAGACUGAAAUUCCCACUAAUGUCUAAUUUAAGAAACAAACAAACAAAAAAAACAUCAAAAACAAAAUUACCUUUUAAAAAUGUAGUUAUUGUAGACAUAGUUUGAUAAGGCUAUAUUUUUUUUCAAGAAAGGAAAAACAAGACUUGAGGAGAGGUGACUUCAUUCACUAAAUACCUGUCCAAGUAAAAGAUUUCAAAAUAAAAGCAUCAUAUUGUAACAAGUGGUGUCUCUCUAGAGAAGUACUAGAUAGAACUUUUGUUUUGAAAAGGAUACAGACGAUGUAAUGAAUGUACUGACCUCAUGCCUAUAACUUAAAACUACUGUAACCAUCACCGCCCAACCCCUUUACAAUCCCAGCACAGCAGUUGUACAGAGAUGCCAGAGUGGUACUCUGUGGUCUCACCAUAGAGAUGUUAGACAGAACUUUUAUUUUUUAAAUUAUGCAGAAAAUUUCUGAGUGCUGGAUUUUUUUAAUGCCAGUUACAGAAUAACUGUUGACACAAAGCCAGUUUUCAUUGAUUUUGGCUGUAUAGGUCUUGGGAUAGAGACUAACUUUAGUGUCUGACCCUUAAAAUCGUUCCACAGCUGUGGCACCAUGCACAUGCAGGCAUCAUGCAGUGUCUUUUCUGUCAUGUCAUUAGUUUCAUUUGUACAUCUGUAUAAUCCCAAUCCUAUCAAAUGUUCAUCAUUACAUCUGUUUUUAAUGGUUUUUACCUAGAAUGGAAUGAAACUGAUAUUAUUAAACACUUCCUCUAACAAAGUCCAUCUUGACAUGAUGCAAGAGUUUCUUCUAAAAAGAGACCAAACUAGUCUUAGUGAGAGGAUGAAAAACAGACUCCAGGUUUUUUGGUGACUCAGUUUUGACCAAGAUAAAGAUGAAGUAAUUGUAGCAAGUCACAGGACAGGCAUAUUUAAAAUAAAAUGAAAUAAAAUAAAAUAGAAUAAACAGGCUUCAAGUCUUUCUUGACUUAAACAAGUUUUCAUCCUGUCAUCAAAUCUCUGAAAGAUUGGCAUCAUAAGAUCUACAUUAAUGUCUUGAAUUGUCUUCCAUGCUCAUCAGGCCCAGAAACCACAAGGUAAUUUCGGGUGUGGUGCACAUGCGCAAAACAAAAGAACAAUUUAGUCAAAUAUCUCAUCCCUGGACAAAUAAAUCUGCAUUUCCAUCCUAACAAAAAAACACCCUUGUCUCAGUAAAUAUAAUCUGACUUUCUUAGCCUCUCUGCAGCUCAUUUUAAUCUUUUGCAUAAAGGGAAAAGAUAAAUCAGCUACACUUGGAUACAAAUAUUGUGCUUGUUAGAGAUCUGCAAAUGGAAAAAUUACCGUCAAUAAAAAGAAUUACAUGACGUCUCCAGACACAUACUUUAAAUACAAACAAGGUUUGAUAUGUUUAAAUGAAAUGCAGAUUGAUGCUGUGUGCGGAUGAAUUCUUUAUUUGAAUAUUUCUCUCUCAGACAUGAGAUUUUUGCUCUUUUUCACAAUAAUUCUUCUUAACUCUAAAUGUUUAUUCUUCUUUAUGUUUAAAGGACACUAAAAGCUGAAAAACACCCUCAAAUCCAGUUAUGGCUUUACCACCUCUUUACAAUCUUGAGCUCUGUACAGAUGUGCAGCAGAGCGAGGGGCCUCUGUGAAUAGUUUACCAAGUACUCUUCUUCAAAGCUGUGAACAGGAAAUGCCAGGAGUGCAGUGGUGAGCUGCAUCUUCUGCCAAAGCUUAGUUAAAGAUCCUUCAUGUGGUGAAGUCACAGAAAACUAAAGAAAAUGUGGACACAGAUCCAUAAUUCUCCCCCACCCUGCUCAAUGAGUUACAGUGAGACUUAACAGCCUAAAUCUCAGCCUUCUGAAGCCUUUUAAAUGUUCGGUGGGAAGACUCUUAAUUAAGUGUGAGAUGUCUUUAUUUGACCAAAAACAGCUGAUAAAGUCUUUUCUUUCAACUCUCUAAACCACACUGAAAAAACAGGAACUAUAGCAGCAAAACCAGGAAGUUCCUGAUCUACUUGAGCUUAGUUCUGAUUGUGUUAUUGUAAUCACGCAACAAUGAUUUGGAUCAGCACACAAAAUUAAAAACAGAAAACUUACAUAUUAUCAAACCCAAAUAUCCAGUCCAGGUAGUGGUAGACCAGCCCUCAUCUUCUGCAGUGUGAAAUUACUGUUUUUCUCAAUAGGGUUCGGUGACUUCCAAAGAGAAACAGCUGUUACCAAGGCACCUUUCUGUUGUACAAAAUGAUCUACUUCUUUGGAGAUCCUUUCUGUAAUAUUGCCAGACACAAAGAGAAACACGUUAAGACUGAUAGUUACAAAUACAGGGACUUUCAGUCACAAAUUGUGUUUUUACCAGAGCUUUCGCUAUAGACCUGUGUCACCCAUUUUAUAGAGAGAUAAGAUAUUGACAUAGUGCUAAGAAUAAGCACUAUGCGAUACCAAAAGUUCAUAGCCGUGGUGGUUCAUACGCUGGUGGCAUGAAAUAGAAGAGAGAUGAGGAGCAGCAGCUGCUUGCGAUCUUGCUGUAGCAUCCUUUUAACAAAUGAACUGGCACUUUUUAAAACUUUUGCUCUGACUUAUUGUGAAUCCAGAUAUAACUUUAGAGCUUGUGCCUCUUCAGGUUCGAACAUUAUUUGUUUCUGACCAAUGUUUUAGUUUCUAUUCAGACGAGAGAGAAAAAAACUCAAAAUAAAAGCAUGAUAAAUAUUCCUUUUAUAAACUUUGCAGUUAUUGUGAAACAAACGGAAACAAUAUCCAUGAACCGUCUCCUUAAUCUCAGUCUGACUGUCUCUUUCUCAGAGAAAAACUAAAUUUCAAACAUUUAUUUACAGACUUUGUGAUGACGGUGCACCGACUGUGAUGCAUGCUUUGGAAUCCCAUCCCAGAAAAACACAUCACCUCUCCAUCCCCCUGCCUCCGUCACACUGUAUUACUUCCAUUUUCCCAUCACUUCUGCAGCUCACACUCUGUCCGCCCUCAUUUCCUCCUCCUCUCCCUCCAACCAUGAUCAAAGUUUCACAUCCCUUCCCUUUCCUUUUUCACCCCCGUCCCCCUCUCAUGUCCCACUCCCCCACUCGACAUAUUGUCUGACACACUCGCAACGGAGACCUCAGCUAAACCCUGCUGCACACACACACACACACACACAUACACAUGCACACACUUGCAAACAGAAGAACAGUCCCCCCCUCUCCUCUCCCC